rnacentral:rRNA from 1 species
CACCGGCACCCCAAGUGGUAGCCACUAUUAUUGGGCCUAAAGCGUUCGUAGCCGGCUUUGUUAGUUUUCGGUUAAAUCUAUACGCUCAACGUAUGGGCUGCCGAAAAUACUGUAGAGAUAGGGAGUGGGAGAGGUAGACGGUACUCGGUAGGAAGGGGUAAAAUCCUUUGAUCUAUCGAUGACCACCUGUGGCGAAGGCGGUCUACCAGAACACGUUCGACGGUGAGGGAUGAAAGCUGGGGGAGCAAACCGG